CACGGGGGGAGCAAGCGUUGUUCGGAAUCACUGGGCGUAAAGGGCGUGUAGGCGGUCAGGUAAGUGGAAUGUGAAAUCCCUCGGCUCACCCGAGGACCUGCAUCCCAAACUGCCUGGCUUGAGUAUGGGAGAGGAUGAGGGAAUUCCUGGUGUAGCGGUGAAAUGCGUAGAUAUCAGGAGGAACACCAAUGGCGAAGGCAGCUCGCUGGGACGUGACUGACGCUGGAGACGCGAAAGCGUGGGGAGCAAACAGG
rnacentral:rRNA from 1 species